AUUUAGGAUCAGUAGCCUAAACAGGAAUGACAGUGGUAAAUAUACCCUGCAAACCUUUGAUUCAGAUGGAAGAACAUCAGAUGAGUGGACUUUCAAGUUGAUCUUUCAAGCUCCUGUGUCCUCUGUCCUGCUGGUCUCUGAGUGUCUGUCCCAGGGAGAGAUGAGGGUGUCCUGCUCCUCUGAGGGAGGGGACAGUCCUCAGUACAGCUGGACUCUGGAUGGACGCACACUGACAGAUGCUGAGCUUCUUUCUGUAAAUAAUAAGAGUAACAACAUUAUUCUGAAACAGCAUGUCUCAGGACAUCUGGUCUGCUCAGUGAGAAAUCAUGUCAAUAGUGUCUCCAAAGAACAAAGGAUAUGUACUUGUGGAUUCAUUUUCAUUAACUGCACUUUAUCUGAUGGGACACACAUAACAAAGUGGGUGCUUGCAACCAAAAAUACCCUGUGUAUUAAACCAACAAUGGGCCCUAUAACAGUCUCUGACACUGCUCUAGAUAACUCCUUACUUUUAUGUGGUUUGAGAGCAAUCUUGGGAAUUCUCUUAUUAAUUGGGAUUUUCAUCUACUUUGCUUGGAAGAAAAAGAAAACUGAAAAAGCUGCUGUCCCACAAACAAUGGACUAUCCAGACAACUCUGUUCUGAUGGUUGAAAUGACAACUUCUACUUCUUGCAACGCGUAGUGUCAACUUUCAUCUGCUGACAUUUCACAUCUCUACAGUGUGCCUCUUGCUGUGUGUUCUGCGGUCCAUGUGUCCUACCAUGUGAACCUAGUUCAUUAGUUCCUGUUUCCACCUUGAUUGAAUUAUUUUGUAUUCUGUAUUUUAGUUUUUGUUCGUUUAGCAAUAAAG
ensembl:lncRNA